AACAACAUACGGGGAACAGGUGCUUUGCGUAACGGCAAAGCUUAAUAGGGAAGCCGGUUCGAAGCCGGCGCGGUCCCGCCACUGUGACAGACGAGGUGCGGCUCAUGAAGCCACUGGUCGAAUGACCGGGAAGGCUGCCGCCACCGAUGACGCUGAAGCCAGGAGACCUGCCUGUUCUGACAGCACUGUU
rnacentral:ncRNA from 20 species